rnacentral:tRNA from 1 species
CCGACCUUAGCUCAGUUGGUAGAGCGGAGGACUGUAGUCGAAUGCUGUUAUCCUUAGGUCGCUGGUUCGAAUCCGGCAGGUCGGA